UGGGGAAUCUUGCGCAAUGGGCGAAAGCCUGACGCAGCGACGCCGCGUGGGGGAUGACGGGUUUCGGCUUGUAAACCCCUGUUGCCCGGGACGAACUUCCUGAUUCGUCAGGAUUGACGGUACCGGGUGAGGAAGCACCGGCUAACUCCGUGCCAGCAGCCGCGGUAAUACGGAGGGUGCGAGCGUUGUCCGGAAUCACUGGGCGUAAAGGGCGCGUAGGUGGCGACCCAAGUCAACGGUGAAAGCUCGGCGCUCAACGCCGGGUCGGCCGUCGAGACUGGGUGGCUGGAGCACUGUAGAGGCAGAUGGAAUUCCGGGUGUAGCGGUGGAAUGCGUAGAGAUCCGGAAGAACACCGGUGGCGAAGGCGGUCUGCUGGGCAGUUGCUGACACUGAGGCGCGACAGCGUGGGGAGCAAACAGG
rnacentral:rRNA from 1 species